CCUACGGGCGGCAGCAGUGGGGAAUAUUGGGCAAUGGGCGCAAGCCUGACCCAGCAACGCCGCGUGAAGGAAGAAGGCUUUCGGGUUGUAAACUUCUUUUAAGAGGGAAGAGCAGAAGAGGGUACCUCUUGAAUAGGCCACGGCUCACUACGGGCCAGCAGCCGCGGUAAUACGUAGGUGGCAGGCGUUUUCCGGAUUUACGGGGUGUAAAGGGCGUGAAGCCGGGAAGAGAAGUCAGAGGUGAAAUCCCGCGGCUCAAACGCGGAACUGCAGUUGAAACUGGUUGUCUUGAGUGCGGGAGAGGUCAGCGGAAUGCGUGGUGUAGCGGUGAAAUGCGUAGAUAUAACGAAGAACACCGAUGGCGAAGGCGGAUGACUGGAGGGCAACUGACGGUGAGGCGCGAAAGCGUGGGGAGCGAACAGGAUUAGAUACCCCAGUAGUC
rnacentral:rRNA from 1 species